rnacentral:ncRNA from 1 species
GGGAGGCUGGUUACAAAUCUGACAAAUAAAGGAGUUGAAGAAAGAGUACCACAGGGAGUGGCACCUGCUGCUUAAUUUGCCUCAAUUGGGAAACUUCACCUGGCUAGCACAUGGACAGUAUUGACAGAUUGAUAGCUCUUUCUUGAUUCUGUAAGUGGUGAUGCAUGGCCAUUCUUAGUUUGUGGAGAGAUUUGUCUGUUUAAUUCCAAUAAUGAAUGAGACUCUGGCAUGUUAACUAGUUAUGUGACCCCAUCUUCUUAACGGGACAAAUGGCAUUCAGCCACCCAAGCUUAUGCAACAACAGGUCUGUGGUGCCCUUAGAUGUUCAGGGCUGCAUGGGUGCUGCACUGGCUCAGUAUGGGCCUACCCUGUGUUGGCAGACACCAUAACUCAUUAAACCCCAUUGUGAUGGGUAUUGAGGAUUGGGAUUUUUCCCCAUGAGUGAGAAAUUUCAAGUAAGUAUGGGUCAAAAGCUUGCCUUCAAUCCCUGCCCCUUAUUCAUGUUGCCCAUUGGAUGGUUUAGUGAAGCACAGGGAUAGGCCCUGCCAUGGUCAGCCCACUGCCCUGGCAGAGUGCUGAGUAUACAGACAAACUGGGCUAACUGGAGGAAGUAAAAGUGACAAGAUUUCCACAGGUGAACCUGCAAAAG